rnacentral:rRNA from 1 species
GACGAACGCUGGCGGCGUGCUAAACACAUGCAAGUCGAACGGAAAGGCCCUGCUUUUGUGGGGAGCUCGAGUGGCGAACGGGUGAGUAACACGUGAGUAACCUGCCCUUGACUUUGGGAUAACUUCAGGGAACUGGGGCUAAUACCGGAUAGGAGCUCCUGCUGCAUGGUGGGGGUUGGAAAGUUUCGGCGGUUGGGGAUGGACUCGCGGCUUAUCAGCUUGUUGGUGGGGUAGUGGCUUACCAAGGCUUUGACGGGUAGCCGGCCUGAGAGGGUGACCGGCCACAUUGGGACUGAGAUACGGCCCAGACUCCUACGGGAGGCAGCAGUGGGGAAUAUUGCACAAUGGGCGGAAGCCUGAUGCAGCAACGCCGCGUGCGGGAUGACGGCCUUCGGGUUGUAAACCGCUUUCGCCUGUGACGAAGCGUGAGUGACGGUAAUGGGUAAAGAAGCACCGGCUAACUACGUGC